AAAUUAAAUACAGUCAUUUGAAUGGUCACUCUCCCCUAACGCAAUUCGAGUAAUUGCAAUCACACACAUAAUUCCAAACGCCCUCCCGAAGCACGCCAACCGCUAAAUGUCACAGUCAUUAGACUAAAUUCUGGCGUCUCCGGAUACCGCCCAGACCCCUGCAGCUACCGUCCCAGCGCCCAAGGAUCCCAUCAAAUUGGGUGUGACCAGCAGAAUACCUUGCGUGGGUUCCAGGCACCGGGACCCAGCUCGUCUAGCGUGGGUCCGUGGACAGCAGUCUGCACUGGAUAGGCAAAGCAGCCAGACGUACUCGGGAGUAGGAUUCGUUCGUAUCGCAGUUCAUAAAUCAGCCAAAAAAUGGAUGAUACAGACUUCCGUGAUGUAGACCCGAACGAGGUUUGGCUGGAGAAGGUGACCAUUGGGGGGUUUCGCGUUUGGCACAUAAUAGCCGCUGUCCUGGGAAUACUAAUGGGAAUCAUGAUUAUGGUCUGCUGUUGCAUCCGAUUCCGAAUACCGCGCACCAAGCAGGAGAUCGAGGCGGACUAUCAGCGCAAGCAAAUCACUAAAAAGUUCCGCGAGAAGCUCCAGCAAAUUAAGAACUCGGAAAUGGACGACAUGGACCUACAGAAGGCACUUGCUUACAUCAAACUGGAACAGUACGAUGAUCCCUAAGGGCUUGUAAAUUCACUAGCACACUGUACAAACAAUUGGAAGUACCCAAGAACUAACCUCUGUAUCCCAAAGAACACUGCCAAUUUUGUGCCCGAAUCCAAAGCGAUUUCCUGAAUCUCCAGGCGAGCGUGGAGAGCAUGAACGAGAAG
rnacentral:misc_RNA from 1 species